UACGGAAGGCAGCAGUGGGGAAUAUUGCACAAUGGGCGCAAGCCUGAUGCAGCCAUGCCGCGUGUAUGAAGAAGGCCUUCGGGUUGUAAAGUACUUUCAGCGGGGAGGAAGGCGAUGCGGUUAAUAACCGCGUCGAUUGACGUUACCCGCAGAAGAAGCACCGGCUAACUCCGUGCCAGCAGCCGCGGUAAUACGGAGGGUGCAAGCGUUAAUCGGAAUUACUGGGCGUAAAGCGCACGCAGGCGGUCUGUUUAAGUCAGAUGUGAAAUCCCCGGGCUUAACCUGGGAACUGCAUUUUGAAACUGGCAGGCUUGAGUCUUGUAGAGGGGGUAGAAUUCCAGGUGUAGCGGUGAAAUGCGUAGAGAUCUGGAGGGAAAUACCGGGUGGCGAAGGGCGGGCCCCUGGGACAAAAGACUGACGCUCAGGUGCGAAAGCGGUGGGGAGCAAAACAGGAUUAGAUACC
rnacentral:rRNA from 1 species